rnacentral:rRNA from 1 species
AACGAACGCUGGCGGCAGGCUUAACACAUGCAAGUCGAGCGCCCCGCCAGGGGAGCGGCAGCCGGGUGAGUAACGCGUGGGAACAUACCUUUUGGUUCGGAACAACUCCGGGAAACUGGAGCUAAUACCGGAUAAGCCCUCACGUGGAAAGGUUUAUCGCCGAACGCUUGGCCCGCUUCUGAUUAGCUAGUUGGUGGGGUAACGGCUCACCAUGGCGACGAUCAGUAGCUGGUCUGAGAGGAUGAUCAGCCACACUGGGACUGAGACACGGCCCAGACUCCUACGGGAGGCAGCAGUGGGGAAUAUAGGACAAUGGGCGCAAGCCUGAUCCAGCCAUGCCGCGUGAGUGAUGAAGGCCUUAGGGUUGUAAAGCUCUUUUGUCCGGGAAGAUAAUGACGGUACCGGAAGAAUAAGCCCCGGCUAACUUCGUG